rnacentral:rRNA from 1 species
GAUGAACGCUGGCGGCGUGCCUAAUACAUGCAAGUCGAGCGAACGGACGAGAAGCUUGCUUCUCUGAUGUUAGCGGCGGACGGGUGAGUAACACGUGGAUAACCUACCUAUAAGACUGGGAUAACUUCGGGAAACCGGAGCUAAUACCUGCUGAUAUUUUGAACCUCAUGGUUCAAACGUGAAAGACGGUCUUGCUGUCACUUAUAGAUGGAUCCGCUCUGCAUUAGCUAGUUGGUAAGGUAACGGCUUACCAAUGCAACUUUGCAUAGCCGACCUGAGAGGAUGAUAGGACACACUGGAACUGAGACACGGUCCAGACUCCUAAGGGAGGAAGCAGUAGGGAAUCGUCCGCAAUGGGCGAAAGCCUGACGGAGCAACGCCGCGUGAGUGAUGAAGGUUUUCGGAUCGUAAAACUCUGUUAGUAGGGAAGAACAUAUGUGUAAGUAACUGUGCACAUCUUGACGGUACCUAAGCAGAAAGCCACGGCUAACUACGUG